rnacentral:rRNA from 1 species
CUGUUAAAGUCUAUAUGGCACCUAAAGACGAGCUUGCGUCUGAUUAGCUUGUUGGUAAGGUAAUGGCUCACCAAGGCAACGAUCAGUAGCUGGUCUGAGAGGAUGAUCAGCCACACUGGAACUGAGACACGGUCCAGACUCCUACGGGAGGCAGCAGUGAGGAAUAUUGGGCAAUGGGCGAAAGCCUGACCCAGCAACGCCGCGUGGAGGAUGAAUGUCGUAAGAUUGUAAACUCCUGUUAGAGGGGACGAAUAAUCCCGAUCGACUCGGGACAUGACUGUACCCUCAGAGAAAGCUCCGGCUAACUACGUG